CGGGAUUACCUCGUGUUUAAUUAUACCAUUCCCUGGAUCGAGUAGAUGGUACACACGAUAUCGAGUCAUAGCAUCAGUAGUUCAUACAACAGUGCCUCACAGGGCUUAUUACAACCAAGCACUUGACCAGAUAAAGAGUCUAAAGCUAAAGGACAAAAAUUAAGCAGAAGCGAUAAAAGUAGCGACAUCUAAGCGGCAAUACACCACAGGCGACAACUGGAAGGCAAGACACCACUACGCGUCUUCUCCUUCAGGGAGGUCCUCGAAACACUCGUAAGGGUCUGCAACUGAGUCUUCCUCAAACACUGAUGGUGAGCAAAGCAGGGGUGAGUACGGGGUACUCAACAAGUCACCACGGAAAUAUGCACAUGCAUGGUUGUAACAAGGAGGCUAUAGGGUUUUUUUUUGCAUAAAAGCAACUUUCACAAAUAGUUUUCACAAGACCUAUUUUCUAGCAGCAAUUUCUAUACCAUGAGUGUAACCAAAUAGCCAUGAAGGUUCUGUCGGCCAUCCACUGAUGGUUUUUCCUCGUGGCAUCCAUGCCAUCUUGUAUCCAUGCCAUCUUGUAGGUAAUUCAACCCCUUGCAUCCCAAGGAGCGAAUCAACUGGACAAACACACAACACCUCCAUUUUCACCAACCAAAAUCAUCUUUUUGGGUUUUAAGAGUCUAGCCAAGUGUAUGCCAUGUCCCGGUGCUCAUAUCCGAGAGCGCGGCUAUUCAAAUAGAUUUAACACACUGCAGUGGUUGUACACUUUUCUCGUGCUCCACGACUACCCAACACAUGAGCUUCGUCCCAACACAUGAGACGGUCGUGGCAAAGCCUUUCGAUAACCUUACUUUAGCAGUGCCCGCUCCAUGAACUUUAAUCUCCAUUGCACUCUAGACGUCCUUUACUAGCAGUGAGGGGAGUUUUGGCGUUCCCAAGGGAGGAGUAAACCAAUAAACACAAACACAACAUAUCACAACUCACUGGGACUGACCUACCCGGUCAUCCCUUAUGCAAUAGGCUUCCUACCUACUUGCACACUCAUAAGAACCACCGCGGCUUGGGCACUGCCUCCGCUCGACUAUUUACUAAGCUAGGUCUAUACCCAUUCGAGAAACACGGUUGUACGGUGGUCGUUUCAUGUAUAGCUGCAUGGCUCGGUCCUUAACUGAUCAAGGCGGACUAACCAUUCCCUAGAACCACCCAUAUUCUCACCAUUUCGCCCCGAUCGAAAACAGUUUUUGUCUCAACAAUUCAUUCUCAACAUGACCAGGUGGUUCUCAUGUCUCCACCUGCCGUCAUGCAAUUACUCCCACUGAGUAAUGCCUCAACAUCAUCAUAAUUAUUUCAGAAGUGUAAUAUUGAAUAAAAUGCAGCUACUAGCAUGGCUAAGCAAUGUUAUCAAUUGACUAGAUUAUAAUUGCAACAUGAGACGACAAAGGUUUCAUGGUAAUCAAACAUAUGACAGGUUAUAUCUAACUAAAGUGGGUCUCUGCUUGUUCGGCAUGCAAUUUUAAGUAAAGGAAACGUUUUCGCACUAUAGGUACAACAUGUUCAAUGGGGGUGAUGACUUGCCUUGCUCAAAGUCCUGUGAAUCUGGCCCCUCGCCCAAUUCGUUCGCGGCUACGAAAUCUGAUAAAACGGAGGGUCGAUAGUCAUGACAUAAAUAUAGGUCUCAGGGUGGUCAAGUGAAUAAUGGGAAUUUGUCAGCUAGCCGAAGUAUCUCGCAAGUCCAAAAUUAAUGUGGCCGAGAAAUUAUGGAUAUGGUUUUGGUCCGGGAGCUGAAAGAUUUAAACUAGUUUAGCUCUAAGCUUCACGGUAAAAAUUGCUAGAUUAAUUGGAACUAAAACAAGGGUUAAAAGGAAGGAAAUUCCUAAUUUAAUUCAAGGAGUAGCUAAUUUCCAGGAAUAAUAUUUUUAGAAGAGAGAAAGUAAUUAGCUGGAUUUUUCUAUACUCAGAGCAGUGGCUAACGUACUACUGCAGUUUGGUUUGUAGGGAGACAAUGCAGACUUGCUAAUUUUUAUGGUUGCACAUGGAAGGAACAGUGAGGCGAGCAACAGCCUAGCUGGCCCACCACGGCUGGCCUACCAGCCCAUGGGCAGGAGGACAGAGAAGGCGAUACAGAGGGGAGGAGGCGUUCAGGAGAAUAGAGGAGGGGAAAAAAAGACUGACCGGCGGCGGCGCAACUGGCUUGGCGAUGGCCAGCUCCCGGCGGUCGGUGGGGCGCAGCAGAGCGGAGCGGAGGGAGAGGCAAGGCGAGGUGAGGGCGCAGCGACGGGAGGUCGCUGCUCUCCCCUUUUUAUAGGCGCUCCCGGCGGCGAGAGGUGCCGGCCGGGUCCACGGCGACGUGAGCGAGCUGCGGCGUGGAGAGGGCGGUGCAGCGGCGACGCGACGGCGACACGACAUGCACGUCGACGGUGCUGCGGUGGCGCGAUGGUGGAGUUAUUGCGACGUGCGCGGCGCAGCCGGCGCGACGUGCGGCGGCAGCGG
rnacentral:lncRNA from 1 species